UCAGAGGCAUCACUGGCUUAAUUGUCCACCUCAUUUGUUGAGAGAUCUACUUCCUGUUUGAUAUUUCUUUCACCUCCUCCCCCAAAUGUAUUUGUGAAAGUCCUUCUGGUUCCCCUUCACCUCUUGGGUGCAGCAUUAACUCAGUUAGGUUUCUAUGUUCCUUCACAGUUGUCUCUUCUCUCACACAUUCCUUGAUCUCUCCUCAGUUUCCUGAAUUUCAUUUCUAUUUAUUUUUUUCUUUUUGACUGGACCGACCUAGUGCCCUUGCCAUUGACUUGAAGCUUCAAAUAAUCAGACACCUAGCAGUGCUACAGAGAGACAAACCAUCACAGAAUUCUGUCCCUUCUGUCCUAGUGCUGAACCUUUAUCCUUUUAAGUUUGAUUUCCCUUUUUAAAGUAUUUUUAUCAUUUAGAGAAGAAGGAUAGCUUUAGAGUGCAUGCCUGAGACAGAUUUGCAAAAGUUCUGUCAAAUGAAGUAAUGUGCAAACGUUACAGCAAAAUCUUGAGUUUCAGUGAGUUUCAGGCUUUGGUACUUCUCCCUUACAGAUGGUUGCAAUAUCUCCUGUAAUUUUCAGCUACUAAUUCUAGCUGUUGUCUGACAGUAUAACAAGAACUGAGCUGAUCUUGUCCACUCCUUUUCUCAUGCAUUGGCAGAAGCAUUGAGUACGUGACCUAAGAGAUCUUUUCCCAUCUCUAAUUUCUCAAGUCUGAGUCCCCAUUUUCAGUAAUAGUCCUUUACUUUUUUGAGCCAUCUCUUAAUUUGUUUGUUCCUGGUGGUCCAGUUUCUUCACUCUCUGUAGCUCUGGAAAUGUUAUCAUUCACAAAUUGAGGGCAGGUUAUAAACUGUGCUCAGGCUGGCAUCUCUGUCAUGCCUGAAGUGGUUUUGAACCGACUAUGCUUCAGCAGUUCCAAGUAUCUUCAUUCCCCAGCUUGCAGCAUAUGCAGUCCACCCCUCUUUUAGUAUGGACAAAGAAGCAUCAGAGCUUCCCCUCUCCACAUUCAUGGGAUAUUUUACUUCAGAAAGUAAACACUUUAUGAUCUAGAAAAGGAAGCUGAGCAUUUCUGUAGUGUGAAAGACUCCAUUUCUUCUUGAGGUUCUCCAGCUGCUGUGUUUCAGCUGAUUCAGGUGCAUGAUUGCUAAAUUAGCUAUGCAUCCACAUUGCCUAAAGAGAGAGGAAAUGGUAGUGCACCUUCUUCUUUAAUGCUUGACUGAAAAUAUUUUCAUGCAUGGAGAGAACUUCUCUGUAAGCUUAAAACAAGUCCAGCAUGUAAACACAGUAGGAGGAUUGCUGCAGUCAGUGUCAACAUCUAUCCUUCCAGGCAAUUUGCCCACUUCCUGCUGUUUUUAUGCCUAAGAGCAGGCUCCCAGUUAAUGUAUGCCAAGCCCUCUUCAACUCUUUCAUCAAAGGCAUUUGAAAAGGCACUUGCUCAUAACACAUUCUGGCCUGAAAUGACUUAGACAUCAGGGUGGAUAACAGAGUGAAUCUGAGCUCCCAAAGAGAUGCUGUGGUCCAGAUGGUGAAUGCCAUUUUUUUGGAUGUCUAAGCAAAGGAUUGCAGAAUACAGCAUGGAGGUGUUUGUUACUUCUCUGUACAGCUUGAGUGAGGCCAUUACUGGCCUACUGUAUGUAGUUCUGGUACCCCAUGCUUCAGAAAGGCUACGGAAUACAGCAAAGUGUUCAAAAAAGGGCCACAAGAUAAUUCAAACCUUUCUUACCUUGAGGAGCUUCAUACAUUGGGCCUAUCGAAGGAAAAGUUCAUGGAUGAUUUGACCAUGGUAGGCCUGUACAUACCUGUGGGGGGACUCUUUAAUCUAUCAGACAGAGGCAUAACAAGACACAGUGUUUGGAAGUGAAACUGUGUAAACUCAGCUUCAUGAAUACGAGCCACAGUGACAACAGCAAGACAUAACUUCUUUUUAGCACUUGAAUCAAGUCAAGAUGAGGAUCUUUCUAAAAAGGUAUGUUCUGAUAUAAUGCAACAGCAUGAACUUACUGUAGGACUAAUGGAUCAGCAGGUCAGCCUAUAUGAUUAUAUUGUUCCAUUGCCUCCCCUCUAAAAAUUACUAGUCCCUUUGGUAUUUGCACUUCUUGAAUUGGUUAGAGAGAUGAACCCCUGCACUAAUAUAGACUUUCAGAUUGCAAUUGUCUUGGGAAGGAGCAGUUUCAUGCAGCCUUCAACCCACUCACAGGUCUAUGUGGCACUUCACGAUUGGUCCAAAUCAAACUGCAUUGCACUACAUUUUAUUCCAUCUAUGUAUGGUUUCAGGCAGUUAGUUCUUUAAAGCAAUUAUCCCGUUUCUAACAAUUUACUUAUUAAACAUCAUUCCAUAAAAGUUAGUGAUUGGAUACUGUGCACUAGUGUUAAUCCAUGGGAAAAGCUGAGAGAUCAAGCAUGCAAAAAUCAAGUGAACUCUGAAAGCUUAGCCAUUGAAACCUAGACCGUUCUUUUUAGAACUAACAAUUCUUUUUAGUUUUCUCUUUGGAGUGCUCUAAGCUAUUUGUUACAUUUUUAUAUUGUGCAGAAAAUAAUUUCUUUUAGCCUGUGUCCAACUGCAGGUUAUAGUCCAGUGUGUACUGUUUUCCAUCCUGAUGCAAUUUGUAGAUCUCAGCAAGAUUUAAAAUGCAAAUCAGAUUUGAAGAAAACUUAUUUGGUAGUUUUACAGUUGGAUUGAAAUAUUUUUGGGACAGGAACUGUUUCAGACCAUGAUUUUGUAGUGAAUAGAUUGUGGUCCUGAAACUGACAAGAGCAUCUAGGUACUGGCACAACAUGGAUAUGGUUCUGUGUGUUGGAAGUGGAAUCUGCAAGAGACCUAGUUGGUCUGAAAGUCUGAGACAAUCUUGAGUUUGCUGUGGUUGCUGAGUUUCUGAUCACUACAAGUGUUAUAUGAUCUCAGUGCCAAGAUGCUUUUCCAUUUCAAGAAAAUCUUCUCCAUAAUAAGAAUGAUAAUUCCAAGAUAUUUAGGCAUCCAGACCUUCCAAGCUACCACUUACUGCCUUGUAUGAUUGCACUACAUGAUUUUGGCAUGUUUGAAUAAUAACUAACAAUAAUGCUUUCAUGAGUAGACUGCCCACUGGCAGGUAAUUAUAGGCACCUGAGGUACAAAGUAUCAGAGCUCUGCUAAUACUUUUUGAAUUUGAUGGUUUUGGUUCAUCAUAAUCAACUGGCUGUCUUUGCAUGCAUCCACAAACGAUGAUAACUUGGGCACCUGGAAAAAAUCUAUUCUUGUAUGCCUGCUACAACACCCUAUAUUGUGGUGUGUAUGGCAUGACCAUUUUUAAAACUAAUGUACCAAGCAAACCAAAGAACUGACAAGCUCUGAUUACUUUAUGUGCUGAGGACCAGCAGUUUCUAAAAUGCCCAGCAGAGAGCUCUUUCUCUCUAAAACUCUCACAUUCCAGCAUGUUUCUUCUGCGUUUACUGUUGGCUGCAAAAGUAUGACCCAGAAACUACAGCUCUACUGAAGCAGAGAUUAAAUAGAAAAGAAGAAACAUACUAAAGUAGCAUUCAGGGUCUGCUUUAAGCAAAUGAAAGGAAAAGAUGAGUUGAGUUAGCCAAGAACAGAAUGGCAUGCUUGGUUCUUCUGCACCUUUCUGAUGUCCCUAGAGAGGUUCAUCUAAAGGAGAAGUUUCAACCUUCAAGUCAGGAUUUCCUUUCUCUAAAUAACGGAAACAUGAAGUCUGCAUUCUUGAUGCCACGCUCUCCUGGAGACAUGGUACAAAUGAUGCCUGAAAACAAGAGGAGGACAGCAGAGCCAACCCAUUAAGGUGCCAGUGAAUUAAAACCUGGAUCUAUCAUGCUACAGUAACAUAAACCACCAGGAGAUUUUCCAUUGUAAGGAAAUGGAACACUGCAAACAUCAUGACAAAGUGACCGAACGAGGAAGACGGCAGGAGAACUGCAUCCGAGAAACCAACUGGCAGCUUCGGCAGUGGUGUCUCGAGGCAGGCUUCGGCUUCCUGGACAAUGACCCGCACAUCACGACGAGGGACAUGCUCAGCUGGAAUGGGCUUCACCUGUCCCCCAAAGGCACUGACUGACUGGCUGUUUCAUUAGCUGGGUGCUCUGUACGUACCAGGAGCUGGCAGUGCCUCAUGAUGAACUGCGAAAUCAAGUGGGACUUGUUUCUGCUUCUGUUAGCUUUGGGAUCAGACCUUUUGCUUAGCAAGAAAUUCUACAAAGAUUGACGGGAAUUUCCAUAGCAUUCUUCAUUCCUAGUUAAGCCAUUUCCUGCUCAUUAAAACAGAACUUGUUUCAACCUCCAGUUUAACAGGUGAAAUUGGAAUACGUAACUGUGGGUGUGACUGCCAGUAUUUAAGUAUCCAAUUAUCUGAUUUGCAGAGGGCACUUAUGAAGAAAACUUCUGUCACAUCCUCAGAUCAAGUAAAUCAGUAUAGUUCUAUUGAGCUGAGAUGUCUAAACAGUGCCUGCAGGUCCGUGCCUGCAGUUUUUGUGGCUGAAAUUGUUGGAAGCUGUUUUUUCAAAUCUGUCUCUAAAGUAUCACAGAUCACAUGAAGCAUGAUCCUCUUUCAGCAUCACGGUCAGUUUUUUCAGGGCACGGAGGGUGCCUGCCUGUUCGUUUUGUACAGUGCCUAUUCCAAUGGAGCCUUGAUCCUACCCCUGUAUGCUUUUGGAAUAUGGAUGCUUGAAGAUCACAGUGAUGUCUCACACAUAGGGCUACCAUAUGAAUCAGCAUACAGACCGGAGCAAAUGUACUCUGCCGAGAAUAAUCCCUUUUUCAUAUAAAUGCCUCUGGCCACUAGGAAUAACAUAACACUGAAAGUACUGAGAGAGGUUUAUGAGUUAUGGGCAAAAAUAGAGCAGGAAUACUGAGGCUCAGAGGAGAUCUCUGUCUUGGCCAGGCAGGAAGAAAAACCAAAUGCAUAGGAUGUGGCUUAAUUAAGAGCCAGAACUUCAAUAACUCACCUAGGAACACUCCUCUGCUGUAAAUCGUGCCCUAAAGGCCAUUGUGCUUUCCCUGAUCAUUACAGCCUCUUUGGGAAAGCUGUUGUCAACUCUCAUGCUUCAAGCCUGGUUGUGGCUUAAUGUCUUUCCUCCUCUGAGUGCUAGGGAGGUACUGGUGAAAGGGGGUUGAAUAGGAGCCCAAAUGCCUUUUUUCAGAGCCCUCAGGGGUCUUCCCUUAUGUUGGUUUCCAUCUCUUGAUGCUUAUAGAAGUUACAAGGGUACCUCGAUAAUGCAGUAACUUUUUGCAAAGCAUUUAAAGUUAUAGCAUGUCAAAAGCUAACACAGGAUUGGCUUCUAUGCAUGGGGGUUAAGUGCCUCCAUGUGCUGACAGAGGCCAGGCCGUAGGGGAUGUCACCUGCUUUGUAAGCUGGCCAGGGCUCCAGAAGCCUCCAGCCAGCUGUCAUUGCAGCAUUCCCCUGUGUUGGGGGAUCUUUGAGGAGAUUUUCAACUCCCUCCCUGAGAGGUGCAUUAGGCACCCCCUCCCUAGGGGGGGACCUGGACUGACCUGGUCCCAGACCCAAAUGCUGGCUCAACCAUCCCUGCCCACAUGAAGGCUGCCCCUUGGCCGGCUGAAUCUCCAGCUCCCUUCUCCCUCCUGGCUGCCCAGGGAGGAGACUCUCUGCCUCCUCCCUGUGGCAAACCAGGGGCAUGACAGGUAACUUUCGUAGGAAAGUGUGUACAUUUUUUCUAAGGCACGCUUAUUUAGAAUACCUUCAUUUGUUCCCUUAUUUGGCCAGGGUUACUUUUUCACAUGAUUGUUCAUUUUAAAAGUGCUCUGUAGCCAUGCACAUGUGUUAUGACAUAGUUGUAGAGCACUUUUGGGGGCCAGAACUCAUGAAAAAUGUCACUUCUGUCUGUGCCCUCUCAUGUAUUAGGUAACCAGACCCCUUAUGGGAAUAAUUGCAGCUGUGGAGAACUGUCACAAAGAGGAACUACUCCUUAGCUUAGCUGCCUUCCCCAAUCAGAUCGCUGUACAUAACUCUGAAAGCAAGUGUGAAAUUCUGUGAUGGGUAACAGCCAAUUCUCCUCUGGUCCCAUGCAACUUUAACCCCUACUGACUUCGUACCAAUCUCUAGGAUUGUAAGCCCAUGGAUAGUUUGUUGACUUCCUGCCCUGGCUUCCCUCACAACACUUCAGGCACAUGUAGUUUAGCUGCUCUUUGAUUUUUAUUUAAAUCAGUAGGUCCUGAUGACCUCCACCCCAGAGUGCUGAGUGAAUUAGCAGAGGUCAUUGCGGGAUCCCUGGCACGGCUUUACGAGCACUCGUGGUGCUCUGGUGUGGUGCCAGAGGACUGGAAAAGGGCCAAUGUGGUUCCCAUUUUCAAAAAAGGGAGGAAGGAGGAUCCAGGAAACUAUAGGCCAGUUAGUCUUACCUCGAUCCUGGGUAAGGUUUUUGAGAGAAUUAUCCUGGCGCAUGUCCACGAGGGGCCAGCAGGGGAGGUUAUGCUUAGGGGCAACCAACACGGGUUCAUUAGAGACAGGUCCUGUCAGACCAACCUGGUGGCCUUCUAUGACCAGGUCACAAAAUCCUUAGACGCAGGGGUAGCAGUGGACAUAGUCUUUCUGGACUUCAGGAAGGCUUUUGACACUGUGUCUCUCACCCCAGUCUCAUUAAAAAACUAGGGGACUGUGCCGUCGACACCUACACAGUCAAAUGGGUCACUAACUGGCUGAAGGGCCGCAUCCAGGGAGUGGUGGUGGACGGGUCAUUUUCGACCUGGAGGGAUGUGGGCAGUGGGGUCCCCCAGGGCUCAGUCCUCAGACCCACGCUGUUCAACAUCUUCAUCAGUGACUUGGACAAGGGGGUAAAAAGCACCCUAUUCAAAUUUGCUGAUGAUACUAAGACGUGGGGGGAUGUGGGCAUGCUAGAAGGGAGAAAUAGGCUGCAAUUGGUCCUAGACAGGUUACAGGGGUGGGCGGAUGAGAACAGGAUGGGUUUCAACACUGACAAGUGCAAGGUGCUGCACCUGGGGAGGAAGAACCAGCAGCAGACCUACAGGCUGGGGAACUGCCUUCUCGUCAGUGCAGAGGCAGAAAAGGAUCUUGGAGUCAUUAUUGAUGCCAAAAUGAACAUGGGCCAACUGUGUGGGGAUGCGGUCAGGAAGGCCAGCCACACCUUGUCAUGCAUCCACAGAUGCAUCUUGAGCAGGUCCUAGGAGGUGAUCCUCCCCCUCUAUGUGGCACUGGUCAGGCCGCAGUUGGAGUACUGUGUCCAGUUCUGGGCGCCGCACUUCAGGAGGGAUGUGGACAACUUGGAGCGGAUCCAGAGGAGGGCCACUCGCAUGAUCGGGGGGCAGUAGGGCAGGCCCUACGAGGAGAGGCUAAGGGACCUGAAACUGUUCAGCCUCCACAAGAGAAGGCUGAGGUGGGAUCUAGUGGCCUGUUACAAACUAGACAGAGGGGACCAGCAGGCAUUGGGGGAGUCCCUGUUCCCCCGAGCACUACCAGGAGUGACUAGAAAUAACAGUCACAAGCUGGCAGAGGAUAGAUUCAGACUAGACAUCAGGAGGCGCUACUUCACUGUCGGUGCGGCUAGGAUCUGGAACCAACUUCCAUCCGAAGUGGUGCUGGCUCCUACCCUGGGGGUCUUUAAGAGGAGGUUAGAUGAAUACCUCGCUGGGGUCAUUUGACCCCAGUACUUUUUCCUGCCAUGGCAGGGGGUCGGAGUUGAUGAUCUGCUCAGGUCCCUUCCGACCCUACCAGCUAUGAAACUAUGGAUUUGCCCUGAAUCUCACUCUUCCUUGGUGAGCAAGGCAACUCACUUACAAGUUUCCCAGUCAUUUAUAUCUAAGUGUGCAGUAGUCAUUUCAGCACCAUGGGCUGGUCUGUGGUGACCAGAGUGCACCAAAGGGGCAGCAACUAGUUGCAGCACAUGCCCUUCUUCUGACCCACCUCUCUCCCCCAGGGUCAGUCGCAACCUGUGAGGGAACUGACUGCUUGCAGAGCCAAUGCAUGAAUAGUUAAACAUGAGCUUUUAUAACUGGUGUCCUUGCAGCGUGUAGCACAUCCCUCUUUUUGUGCUCAUGCAGAGCCCCCUCACCAUGGAGUCCCAGCAGUAUAAUCCCAGGAGGAUAUUAUCCAUCUGCCUGUAGGUCAAAUGAACAGGAUUAUGCUUGUACCUCUGGCUACUAACUCCAUUGACUCAUUCACAUGAUCCUGGAGGAAAGCAUAAGCAAGAAUUGUUUAGCAAACCACUAUAUCCUCCUUCCCUACAGGGACCUCUGUACAAUUGUAAGCAUUUGGGCAUCACCACUGAUGGGCAUCAUCUACUGGGUACCUCCUCCAAGUCAUGCUGUAUGCAUACCUAUCCUGAAUGUAUGCAAUCCCAAAUCACCAUGAAAACCUCCACAGUGUGUGCCUUCCCCCACUGCUAUGAACUGAAAUUUUCUUUCAAGGUAACUUCCUUUCUUAGGCUUGUACUCCUUUGACUGGGCAGAUCUUGGUCUCUUCUGCCCUUGUAGUAUCAUGAUUCAUGUUGACAUCCCUUCCGAGUAUUGGACUGUCAAGUCUCUCUACCCUUUCUCGCAAAUGCAGAACCCUAAACUCCCAAAGCCCCUUGCUGUGAUCCCCCCUGACUAACCCUGAUAGAGACUGCUCCAUCAAUAGCUAUGAUACCACUCACUCAACCUCAAUAAAUGCCUGAAUUUUCCGGGUUUCAGUUGCAACAUGCUGCAACCUUUAAGAAGGCUCCCCACCUUCCCACCUUUUUUAAAAAAAGAAAACCUACACAGCAGAAAUACCUGCAGAUAAUUUCAUGCAGCAGUCCAUAAAAGCAGGAUUAUUUAAAGAGGAGAGAAAACCCCAUAAAGCAUAAACAGGAUAAAAAUGUAACCUCAUUACCAUUUCCUUGGCUCAGUAGAUAGGCAGUGGUGUAAGUAGGUAGUAAGAGAAUAGCAUUUUUGCUUCUCAAAUGUGGGAAAGGUAAGAUACGAUGCAGAGCUGUAUGGGUUCAUGCACCACUUCUGCCUGUCAGAGCAGACAGCAACAUUUUGUCUCACUUUGCCUGAUCCAAAAGGCAAAGUGGCUCUGGAAGGUGUGUCACUGAUUUUUAGAAAGUGGGUUCCUGUUGUGUAUGAUGAAAUUGGACCCAGGGAAGUUGCUCCUUCAUUUGCUGUUGGAUUGUUAGCUGCGUGCAACAGCUCUUGAAUUGUUGGAUAAUGCAUCUAACACCUGAUCUUGGCCCUAAAUCAUAUAUUACAGGAGCAUCUAAUCUGCUUUGAUUCUACCAUUAAUUUUGCAGGAACAAAAAUCUAGAUGGGAACAUGCGAGUCAUUGGCAUCUGUAAAUAACGUUGGGCUGCCGCUUGCUUGAUGAAACCCAAGGCCUGUAGCUGAGCCACCAUAAAGUUCUUUUGGAAGGAAAAUGGCAACAUACCAUAGAAAGAGGUAGUUCAGGACUUAGUCUGAAGUCAGGCAGAAGGCAGGGCAGAUAUGUACCUUAUAGACUGACUAGAUCAAAGAUGUAUUUGUACUGUAGAGCAUCCUGUAGAAUCAAAGUUCCUUCCUUGUGGAAGCUCCAAGCUGCAGCCAGGAGAUGCUGGUCACCUCACAAAAGAGACAAUGGCAGUGGUCUGCAGAUUUUAUUUAUCUCUGUUAUCCAAUAUAUAGAGGAUUGCGUGUAAAGGAGUCCCAUUGCACCCACAUGGUUUCACCUUGCUUUUGAAGGUAACAUUUUUAAAACUAAAAAUAGUUCUCCUUUAAUCUAAUUUUUUUGUCAACAGCAUAAUGCAAUUCAUGGGUGACUGUACUAACGUUGACAUGAAAAAUUCAUGGCUGCAACCCAUUCCUUGAGAGGGAGGAUAAUGUAGACAUUUGUCACAGCUAAAGUUACCGUAUUUCCCCUACUAGAUGCAGUGUAAACCAGUCAAUCAGUGCAUCUUAAGUAGACACCAGAACAUCAUCUCUCAAGGAUGAAUUCCCUCCUACUGGAAGCAGAAGCCAUUUCCCUGAAGCUAAGUAUCAAGUACAAGGAGGAAGAAGGAGGGAUCAGGCCAGGCGUUCAGAACUACAGAGAGAUUCCUACAGGGUUUGAAUUGCUUUCCAACCCUUGGGGGCGGUCUGCAGCAGUGGUAGCUGGAAGUUGGAAGGAGCCGCUGCCUGAGGCACAGGCCAGGCUGGGGCGUGGGGCACUCAUCUCUUAUGGGGGCUCAGUCCCACCCUGCCCCCAGGAGCUUCACCAUAAUUCAAACCUUGGCUUCCUACAUAUGAAAGAAAAGUAUGUGGUGAAUUUGUUGGUUGUCAGCAUUCACACUCCUGUAUUUAAUGUGCAUUAAACAACUUCUUACAGA